rnacentral:rRNA from 1 species
UACGAAGGGUGCAAGCGUUACUCGGAAUUACUGGGCGUAAAGCGUGCGUAGGUGGUUUGUUAAGUCUGUUGUGAAAGCCCCGGGCUCAACCUGGGAAUGGCAGUGGAAACUAGGGGACUGGAAUCUGGCAGAGGGGGGUGGAAUGCCGCGUGUAGCAGUGAAAUGCGUAGAGAUGCGGCGGAACACCGAUGGCGAAGGCAGCCCCCUGGGCUGAGAUUGACGCUGAUGCGCGAAAGCCAGGGGAGCAAACGGG